rnacentral:rRNA from 1 species
UACGUAGGGGGCAAGCGUUGUCCGGAUUUAUUGGGCGUAAAGAGCGUGUAGGCGGCCACACAGGUCUGCUGUGAAAACUCGAGGCUCAACCUCGAGCUGUCGGUGGAAACCGUGUGGCUAGAGUCCGGAAGAGGAGAGUGGAAUUCCUGGUGUAGCGGUGAAAUGCGCAGAUAUCAGGAAGAACACCCGUGGCUAAGGCGGCUCUCUAGUACGGUACUGACGCUGAGACGCGAAAGCGUGGGGAGCGAACAGG